CCUACGGGGGGCAGCAGUGAGGAAUAUUGGUCAAUGGCCGUAAGGCUGAACCAGCCAAGUAGCGUGAGGGAAGACUGCCCUAUGGGUUGUAAACCUCUUUUAUGCGGGGAUAAAGGUGUCCACGUGUGGAUGUUUGCAGGUACCGCAUGAAUAAGGACCGGCUAAUUCCGUGCCAGCAGCCGCGGUAAUACGGAAGGUCCGGGCGUUAUCCGGAUUUAUUGGGUUUAAAGGGAGCGUAGGCCGGUCUUUAAGCGUGCCGUGAAAUUUUGUGGCUCAACCAUGAGAGUGCGGCGCGAACUGGAGACCUUGAGUGCGCGGAAGGCAGGCGGAAUUCGUGGUGUAGCGGUGAAAUGCUUAGAUAUCACGAAGAACCCCGAUUGCGAAGGCGGGUUCCUGGACAUUAACUGACGCUGAGGCACGAAGGCCAGGGGAGCGAAAGGGAUUAGAUACCCGGGUAGUC
rnacentral:rRNA from 1 species